rnacentral:sRNA from 1 species
CAGAAAGUACUAAAUACUGAGAUCCUGUUUUCCCACAAAACGAGGACGCCGUGGGCAGCAGCAGUGCAAGAUUCCCACACAUGCUGCCCAGCCAAUGUCCAUCAAAGAGAUCACCUCAGAGCUGGAGGGGAGAAGCUCAAUUUCUUGUCUAUGCUGAGGUUGG